GUGCCAGCCGCCGCGGUAAUACGUAGGGGGCGAACGUUGCUCGGAAUUACUGGGCGUAAAGGGUGUGUAGGUGGCUGAGCAAGUCGAAGAUGAAAUCCAGGGCUCAACCCUGGAAUUGUCUUUGAUACUGUUCAGCUUGAGGGUGGUCGAGGAAGACGGAAUUCCCGGUGGAGCGGUGAAAUGCGUAGAUAUCGGGAGGAACACCGGAGGCGAAGGCGGUCUUCUGGGCCACUCCUGACACUGAGGCACGAAAGCUAGGGGAGCGAACGGGAUUAGAUACCCCGGUAGUCCUAGCCGUAAACGAUGGGCACUAGAUGUUCCCACAUUUUGUGGGAGUGUCGAAGCUAACGCGUUAAGUGCCUCGCCUGGGGAGUACGGUCGCAAGGCUGAAACUCAAAUGAAUUGACGGGG
rnacentral:rRNA from 1 species